CUAUAUUGGAACACCACAGAGUAAAGGGAAAUCUCAAAUUCUACCCAUAUGCUUAUUUUAACAAGGAAGCUCAACUUUGGAUGUAGAUUAUUGGUGCUUGUUUAGUUCCAGGAACCCAUAUCAUUUAUGUAAUGUAUGAAUGGGUGCCUACUUACUGAAGAAGAGUUGAGAUAGUUGGAUAUUGACUACCUAAUGAAUUACCAUGCAAAUUUCAUGUGCCAAGUUGGUCAAACCUUUAGAGAGCUGGUAGAUGUGAUAUUUAUACUGAUGAUGAACAUUUGCUAGUUGAUUCCGAUGUGGAGAUUUAUUCUGACUAGGAGGAUUAUGAGAUGAGAUAUCUUAGACCCAAUGUGUAUGAAGAAGAUGUCUAUGCCCAGAAAGUUCUUUUCCCUAUCUUCUACUUAUGAUUUGGGUUAUUCGCUAAGGACAUUCCCUCUUCUAAGUGUGAGGUGGGGAAAAUAUUCCUUAGAUUAUUUACUUUCUUUAUGCAUGUUGGUACAUACUUUGGUGUCUAUUUUUGGUUUUUUGAUGAAGUUGUUUCUAGUUAAAUUAUUGUGGUUUGUAAUAAGUAGUAAUUUGCACUUUGUGGACUUUUAUGAUUUAACAAUUGUAAUUGUUUUUGUAUUAGUUUUUUUUCUC